AGUCCCGCAGGGCAGAAAGCUCUGAUUAAAACAGCUCUUGCUGGGAUUCAGAGGCUUUUUGGGGAAAAAGAAAAUGACCCUGCCUGCUGGAGUCUGUCUGAGGCACUGCUGGUGAGGAGGAAGCCAUGGGAAAGUCAUGGAGUGCAGCUGACGAUCCCUAAACCUGCAAUUUAUGCGACUGGUGUAAUCUCCGCACAACUGUAACUGAUGAAUAUGCAUCAUAUCAUUUCUAUGCACGGCAGAAAGUAACCUACUUCUGGCCCCCAGCAAACUGCGCCCUCUCCAGCCUGGCCAACAAGGCAGCAGGACUGGUAGCGGAACUGGCAGGAGGAAGAGCUUUGAUCCUGCCAAAGGAAGAUGAUGGCUGCUACCUGGAC
rnacentral:lncRNA from 1 species